rnacentral:lncRNA from 1 species
CUAAAACAAAUGAGUAAUAACAUCCAUUGAAGAGUCAGAUACCUUUGGGAAAGUGUGAGAACACCAUUCCUACAAAAUACCCUUGGCCUGCCCUUUGCUUUUUUUUUUUUUUUUUUUUUUUUUUUUUUUUUUCCUAAAGUUAGCAAAAGAACGAAUCUCCCAAUCCUUACUAUGCAUUUGCUGUUAUAAUUUUUCAUUUAAAAAACAAACAUAAAGCAGCUUAAAGGGCUUUUUUCACACUCUCAUUUGUGGACAAAAUUUUCUCACAAAGCGAUGGCGUCUGGUACAGUCACGCUGGUUCGACGUGAGUGUGUUAUUGGAAUCGAGGGCUUUUCUGUGGCUUUACUGUUUGCUGCUCUACCCUCUGGAGAGACCUGUCCUUCCUGGGAAACACAAUAAAGCCCAGGCGUCCACCUGGGGGCCUCUGAGACAUUCAGAAACGUGUCCAGUAAAUGUCACUGCCCUGGCCUUGGUGUUUGUGUCCCUGCAGGGUCCAGGCAGCUGCCAGGGCACAGAAUCUUCCCGAACAAAGGGUUGGCGCUGCUUGCACAUGGUAGAAAAGCCGGGCAGACGAGGAUGCUCUGAAAGGAAGCAGUGGUCCUGGGCGCCGGCUGUGUGGUUCUCGCAGCCCCCACCCCGGCGUGCAGAUCUGGGGCUUCAGCAAACGUGGCACAUUCCGUGGUGGCCUUAACAGGACCCUUGUCUUCUGGGUCCAACUAAAACACCAGGGACGAAGGAAAGCCUCCUGGACAGCGCGCCUGGGCCCGGAGGAAGCCGGGGGGCAGCAGGCUCAGAACCUGCUGGCCGGGGACUCCCUCGCCCGAACCCAGCACGAGCUGGUGGCUUAAAGCAACAGAUACGACGGCCCCAGGGCACGGAAGCCCGAGGGAGGCGAGGAGGCCCGGCUCUCUGCAGGCUCCAGGGAGACCCCUCCCUGCCUCUCAUGGCUCCAGGUGCUGUGGCCGUCCUGGGGGUUCCCCCGGUAUGGUUCCCUGGUGUGGGGUCUCCCCAGUGUGUGGGCUCCCCAGUGUGGGGGCCCCUGGUGUUGGGGUUCCCGCCAAUGUAGGGGUUCCCAGUGUGGAGGUUCCCCGUUGUGGGGGUUCCCGGUGUGGGGUCCCCUGUAGGGGGUCCCUGGUGUUGGGGUUUCCUCCAAUGUGGAGGUUCUCGGUGUGGGGUUCCCUCCAGUGUGGGGGGGGUCCCUGGUGUGGGGGUUCCCCAGUGUGGGGGUUCCCAUGUGGGGUCCCCUCCAGUGUGGGGGUCCCUGGUGUGGGGGUUCCCUGGUGUGGGGAUUUCCCAGUGUGGGGGUUCCUGGUGGAGGGUCCCCUGUGGGGGUCCCUGGUGUUGGGGUUCCCUCCAAUGUCAGGGUUACCAGUGUGGGGUCCAGUGUGGGGGUUCCCUGGUGUGGGGGUUUACUGGUGUGGGGGUUCCCAGUGGGGUGUCCCCUAUAGGGGUCCCUGGUGUUGGGGUUUCCUCCAAUGUGGGGGUUCCCUAUGGGGGUCCCUGGUGUUGGGGUGUGCCACUGGCUGCUCUGCCUUCAUGGGCUGUCUUCCCUGCGUCCGGCCGGAAGUCCCAUUUCCACAAGGACACGUCACACCUGGCGGGCAGCCUGCGUCCCGUUUCCUCGGCUUUCGGGGGUUCCUUCACAGGCCUCUGUCUGCGCCGUCUACACAGUGUGCCUAUCUGGGGGAGUCUCUGCCGAUAAGCUUCUACCUUUAAAAGUAACUGCUUGAUGGGGAGUUCCCGUCGUGGCACAGCAGAAACGAAUCUGACUAGGAACCAUGAAGUUGCAGGUUCGAUCCCUGGCCUCGCUCAGUGGGUUCAGGAUCCUGCAUUGCUGUGAGCUAUGGUGUAGGUCACAGACUCGGCUUGGAUCCUGCUGUGGCUGUGGUGUAGGCUGGCGGCUACAGCUCGGAUUAGACCCCUAGCAUUAGAAACCUCCAUAUGCUGCAGAUGCUGACCUUAAAAAAAAGGCCAAAAAAAAAAAAAAA